UUGCAUAUACCGGGAGUUGAAAUUCAAUGAGAGAGGAGGGAAGAAAAGAAAGUGAAAAGUGAGUGAGAAGGAAGAACAAGCAGAAUGUAAGUAGGAAAGACGUUUUAUUUUCACUGGAGAAGACCUGUAGGACACAGUGGUUGGUACCACUCACUCAGCCAUGAGUGAUGGAGUCCAAGAAAACCAACUGCGUUCUAUCCGGGUUGCAGAUUCACGGGGGCCAGCAAAAUCUGUUGAUGUAGAUUUUUCUACUGGUGGGUACUCUUCCUCUCACAAAUCCUCUCCUACUUCCAAACAAGGCACAAAGCAUGAAAUUUUGGGGAGGGAGCCAGUCGAUUAGACUGACCCCAGUAUGCAACUGCUAUUUAAUUUAUCAACCCCAAAAGGAUGAAAGGUAAAGUCGACCUCGGUGGAAUUGAACUCAGAAUGUAAAGACAGAUGAAAUUCCGCUAAGCACUUCACCCGGCGUGCUAACGUUUCUGCCUGCUCGCCGCUUUGAUAACCAUUUGCUUAUUGAUUUACUUUUGUACUUGUUUGCUUCCUUAUCUUUUUUUUUUUUUAAUUCUAUUUAUUUGUAUGCUGGUGAAAGUCAUGAACAACCCUAUUUAACCAUUUAGUAUUCAAAUUGUCAUAUGUAAUGCUUACUUAUUCACAUUGUUUUCAAUUAAACAUGCAUUAUUACAUAGCUUUGAAAUUUCAAUGAUGUGAUUGUUUAUUUUUAGAAUGACAUUGUAGAGUAAGUGUAAGAGGCUAAAUCUGGCUGGUUCUAACAUAAAACAAGUAAAAUAUCUGAGCUGGAUAUGACUGGUUUAAAAUCUAAAAGGCUUAAUACAAAUUAAAUCCCCUUGUUUUCUUUAUGUAUAAAGGGCAGUAGAUUGGCAGACAAAAUAACAUGUGGUAUUCAUCUCAGCUUAGUGGAAGUAUUUUAGUGGACAAAAAUAUUUUACAGUAUUCUUUCCGGCUCUUUAUAUUCUGAGUUUGUCUAUGACAACACUGGUACCAAGGUGUAUUCCCCUUCCCCUAGACACUAUCAGUAACAUAAAAAGGGGAAACUUGCUGCAGGAAAACUGCUGGUUUUCCAUUAAAAAAAAGCCUUAUCCAUGCCUACAUUUUGGUUCAUGGAUAUUCUAGGUGUAAUAUCCAUGAACAAU